CAGCCGCCGCGGUAAUACAGAGGUCUCAAGCGUUGUUCGGAUUCAUUGGGCGUAAAGGGUGCGUAGGUGGCUUGGUAAGUUGAAGGUGAAAUCUCGGGGCUUAACUCCGAAACUGCCUUCAAUACUGCUGAGCUCGAGGAUUGUAGAGGAGAAUGGAAUUCACGGUGUAGCAGUGAAAUGCGUAGAUAUCGUGAGGAAGACCAGUGGCGAAGGCGAUUCUCUGGGCAAUUCCUGACACUGAGGCACGAAGGCCAGGGGAGCAAACGGGAUUAGAUACCCCCGUAGUCCCUGUCUCUUAUAC
rnacentral:rRNA from 1 species